rnacentral:rRNA from 1 species
UACGUAGGUGGCGAGCGUUGUCCGGAAUUACUGGGCGUAAAGCGUGCGCAGGCGGUGAUGUAAGACAGAUGUGAAAUCCCCGGGCUCAACCUGGGAACUGCAUUUGUGACUGCAUCGCUGGAGUACGGCAGAGGGGGAUGGAAUUCCGCGUGUAGCAGUGAAAUGCGUAGAUAUGCGGAGGAACACCGAUGGCGAAGGCAAUCCCCUGGGCCUGCACUGACGCUCAUGCACGAAAGCGUGGGGAGCAAACAGG